GAAAACCAUCACCACCAUUGCCAGCGCACUAGGCCAUGGCUUUUCCUUGUUUUCCCUCUUCCCCCCUACCCCACACCUAGGGAUGAGCCAUGUUUCCUCAAUCUCUUUUCAACAGAAAAAUUUGAGUUACCAUAGCAUGGAAUUUACAUUUACCAAUGAAGAGUUAAGAAUAUGGUUAGGUAGUUUAAAUGCAAUUAUUUUUAACAUGAAAAAUAUAAAAUGAGCAAAUUUUA
rnacentral:misc_RNA from 1 species